rnacentral:lncRNA from 1 species
GCCUAGGGAAGGGUGUAGAGUGGCCUCCCUCGCGUGGCUGCUCAGUAUUGUUUGCGCUCAGCCAGGGUGACCUGACGCCCGCUUUGGAAAACUGCUGAACAGCGGGCGGGCGCAGUGGUUUCUUGCAAGGUCCCAGGCAGAGCGGAAUGCAUACACCAGGAAGCCAGCAGGCCUGUCCGGAGAGGCACGGCUCACAGCCUCCGGACUGGAGAGAGCCCAGUUGCUGGGCUUCCGAGCCUUCCUCCCCUGCCCACGACUAAGGAAUGAGCCCUUCUCUGCGCCUGGCCCUGCUGCGCGGAGCCGCAGAGCUGAAAGUGAAAGGUGAGGGCCCCCUUUCCCACGGCCAGAAGAGGGGCGUGGGUGCCGCGGGACUCCCCGGCGGCGGCGGCGGCGGCGGCGGCGGCGGCGGGAGCGCAGUCUGCGAGAGCCCUGGGACCUGGAAGGAGAAGCUGAUGUCGUCUCCGCCUGGCCCUGACCCCUCCAGCGAGUGAGUGACUCCUUCCUCCGGAGCCGACCCUUCACCAGAGAACAGGCUCAGGAUGCCCUGGCCCUGUCUGUGCAGCAGGGACCAUUGCCCUUGGAUACUGCUGACCCCUAGGGACUGCCCAGUGCCUCACAUACACCAUGAACCCGUGCCAGACCCACACCAGGACGGUGCAGACGAAGCACGGAAAAGAAGGCGCUCUAGACCACAGCUCGAGGCUACGUCAGGAGCCAGCAAGCUGCGCUCUGCCUCCAGCCACCCGGCCUGGGCCAGGAGGCCGACUGUUACUGAUGUGGAGACAGACAGGGAUGCUCCUGGCUGCCCAUCAGGGCCUUGGCAGACGAGGGAGCAGAGCCUGGAGAAGCCCAGAGUCCUGGCCAUGGGACACAGGACCCCGAGGGGGCCCUGGAGACCGUUGCUCUCGCUGGGCUGCAGAGAGCUGCAGGUGGGGUCCCUGCUGCAGGUGUCCUGGCAGCUGGGGCGCUUGCUGGGGCCCUGCCCGGCCUGGGGAAUGUUCUCAGAUGGUGUAGCAGUUCCAGGUUUACUCAGAGCUCUCUUCUGAGCUGUCAUGAAAAGUCCCUUUGGCCUGGGGCCCGGGCAGGCUGGGGCGGUGGGGCCUGUGAGCCUUGGGGGGGGGCGAGGGUCCUCCCAGCUCCCUCCCCAACUCAGCAGGGCCUGGAGAAGCAGGGGAGAGAGGGGCAGGGGGCAAGAAGACCCUCGUCUUGGGGCUCUCUUUUCUUCCCUUCACAAUGGCCUCCUGGGUGACCCUAGAAAAUGCCCCUCCCUCCCCAGCACUCAGUUUCCCUGUCUGUCAAAGGGGUGUAGAAUCACCCUAAAUCAGAUCCAUCAUUAGGUGAGGACUCAGUACAUGCUGGUGUUCCAGCCAGUGACAAGACUAUUAUCACCAAAAAUAAAGUAAAACCUAAC